rnacentral:rRNA from 1 species
GAUGAACGCUGGCGGCGUGCCUAAUACAUGCAAGUCGAGCGAACAGACGAGGAGCUUGCUCCUCUGACGUUAGCGGCGGACGGGUGAGUAACACGUGGAUAACCUACCUAUAAGACUGGGAUAACUUCGGGAAACCGGAGCUAAUACCGGAUAAUAUAUUGAACCGCAUGGUUCAAUAGUGAAAGACGGUUUUGCUGUCACUUAUAGAUGGAUCCGCGCCGCAUUAGCUAGUUGGUAAGGUAACGGCUUACCAAGGCAACGAUGCGUAGCCGACCUGAGAGGUUCAUCGGCCACACUGGAACGGAGACAGGGUCCAGACUCUUACGGGAGGCAGCAGUAGGGAAUUUUCCGCAAUGGGCGAAAGCCUGAGGGAGCAGCGCCGCGGGAGUGAAGAAGGUCUCAGGAUCGUAAAACUCUGUUAUUAGGGAAAAACAAAUGUGUAAGUAAAUAUGCACUUCUUGAGGGUACCUAAUCAGAAAGCCAGGGCUAACUCCGUG